GACGAACGCUGGCGGCGUGCUUAACACAUGCAAGUCGAGCGGAAAGGCCCUUCGGGUACUCGAGCGGCGAACGGGUGAGUAACACGUGGGUAACCUGCCCUUCACUCUGGGAUAACUCCGGGAAACCGGGGCUAAUACCGGAUACGACCACUUUAGGCAUCUUCGGUGGUGGAAAGUUUUUCGGUGGAGGAUGGACCCGCGGCCUAUCAGCUUGUUGGUGGGGUAAUGGCCUACCAAGGCAGUGACGGGUAGCCGGCCUGAGAGGGCGACCGGCCACACUGGGACUGAGACACGGCCCAGACUCCUACGGGAGGCAGCAGUGGGGAAGUAUUGCGCAAUGGGCGGAAGCCUGACGCAGCGACGCCGCGUGAGGGAUGACGGCC
rnacentral:rRNA from 1 species